GGGGGUAUAGUUCAGUUGGUAGAACAUCUCGUUCGCAAGAAUGCGCACAACGAGAAGGUCCGGAGUUCGAUUCUCCGUGCCUCCA